rnacentral:rRNA from 1 species
CAGCUCCAAUAGCGUAUAUUAAAAUUGUUGCAGUUAAAAAGCUCGUAGUUGAAUUUCUGCUAAAAAUAACCGGUCUGCUUUUAAUAAAGGUGGUAUCUUGGUGUGUUUUUAGCAAUAAUGUCCUUUGAAAUGUUUUUUACUUCAUUGUAAUAAAUUAUAUUCAGGAUUUUUACUUUGAGAAAAUUAGAGUGUUUCUAGCAGGCUAACGCUUUGAAUACUGCAGCAUGGAAUAAUAAAAUAGGAUUUUGGUUCUACAUUAUUGGUUUUAAGAGCUAAAUUAAUGAUUGAUAGGGACAGUUGGGGGCAUUUGUAUUUAACUGUCAGAGGUGAAAUUCUU